rnacentral:rRNA from 1 species
UCCCAGCGGUCCAAGUAGCAGCCGCGUUUAUUGGGUCUAAAACAUCCGUAGCUCGUUUCGUAAGUCUUGUGUUAAAUCUGGCAUCUCAAGUGUCAGGCACGCACAAGAUACUGCGGGGCUAGAGACCGGGAGGCGUAAGAAGUACGGUUAGGGUAGCGGUAAAAUGCGUUGAUCCUUACUGGACUAACGAUAGCGAAGGCAUCUUACGAGAACGGAUCUGACAGUGAGGUAUGAAGGCUAGGGGCGCAAAACGG